CCACAUUUGCGAAGUGGAUCACUGCCGUUGUGAACUUAGUAACAUGAUUGUUAAGUGAAUCUGACUUUCCCAUGGGCUUUGCUUGUCAGAAGGUCGCAAAAGGGGACACUGCAACCGUCAUAAAUGCAGGUAACAUAGACACGUUCUAGCAUGGAUGCUUUUGCUAAUCACAGUUGCCACCUCCUUCAGCAGCUCCACAAUCAGCGGAUACAAGGUCUUCUCUGUGAUUGUAUGUUGGUGGUCAGAGGUGUCUCCUUCAAAGCACAUAAAAAUGUGUUGGCUGCUUUCAGCCAAUAUUUUAGACUUCCCCAAUCGCCAGGAUUCUGGACAGUGUGCAGAAAGCAAAAUGAAAUAAGGAAAACAUGGUGUGAUGUUGCUCCUAAAAACUGUUACCAACUGCAAAAAUAAAA